CGGCCCCUACGGGACGCAGCAGUGAGGAAUAUUGGUCAAUGGGCGGGAGCCUGAACCAGCCAAGUCGCGUGAGAGAAGACGGUCCUAUGGAUUGUAAACCUCUUUAGGCGGGGAGCAAUGCCGGGCACGCGUGCCCGGAGGGAGAGUACCCGCAGAAUAAGCAUCGGCUAACUCCGUGCCAGCAGCCGCGGUAAUACGGAGGAUGUGAGCGUUAUCCGGAUUUAUUGGGUUUAAAGGGUGCGUAGGCGGAUUUUUAAGUCAUCGGUAAAAUGUCCGGGCUCAACCCGGGCCGGCCGUUGAAACUG
rnacentral:rRNA from 1 species